GACGAACGCUGGCGGCGUGCUUAACACAUGCAAGUCGAACGAUGAACCGGAGCUUGCUCUGGGGAUUAGUGGCGAACGGGUGAGUAACACGUGGGCAACCUGCCCCAGACACCGGGAUAACCAUUCGAAAGGAUGGCUAAUACCGGAUACGACCACUUCGGGCAUCCGAUGGUGGUGGAAAGGAUUCUGGUCUGGGAUGGGCCCGCGGCCUAUCAGCUUGUUGGUGGGGUAAUGGCCUACCAAGGCGACGACGGGUAGCCGGCCUGAGAGGGCGACCGGCCACACUGGGACUGAGACACGGCCCAGACUCCUACGGGAGGCAGCAGUGGGGAAUAUUGCGCAAUGGGCGAAAGCCUGACGCAGCGACGCCGCGUGAGGGACGAAGGUCUUCGGAUUGUAAACCUCUUUCAGCAGGGAUGAAGCGAAAGUGACAGUACCUGCAGAAGAAGCACCGGCUAACUACGUGCCAGCCGCCGCCGUAAUAC
rnacentral:rRNA from 1 species